UAGAACGCGCACAUUUUCGGCUAUUACCGUGUUUCGAUUAAUACCGUUUCCCCUCGGUCACACCGAAAAACUACUGAAAUUUUAGUAAAACACCAAUUCGAUUUCGCUCAGAAUCGGUUUUUGUUUGCAACGAUCGACCGUUGCAUACCUAAUCACCCUCUGAACACCUAACCGAAUUUAACAAACUACACAUUUAUUACCUGCAAUACCAUACCCGCAAUGUCCCGUCCGACUGUAUGUCCAUUCGCAAUA